AGGUGACUAUCCCCCCACCCUGCCCCUGCGUCGCGGCGCGUCGCGCUGCUGCUCCCGCCCCAGCCGGGGCCGAAGAUGGGGCGGCGGCUGCGGUUUUCCACACGACUUCCUUGGAUCUCGGGGCACACGCGCCGAUAGUUCGGACGCGAGUCCGGGCUGGUUUUGCUCCGUUUUACUGCGUUUGAUUACUAAUUUAAAAGCUUUGCGUUCCCCGUCGCCCCGGCCCGCUUUUCUCCUGCAUUCUCCCCUCGGCCCCCGUCCCCGCCCUGCGAUCGCUGGAGGGGGCGUCGGGGCUCGCGCGCCAGAACCCGGCUCCUCCGAAGCCCCCUCCGGGCCCCACCGCCCCCCUCGCGCCUCCCGGCCCCCGCCUCCUCCCCUUCGCCCCCACCCAACGGCUGCUGCUUCGGGCUUCGCGGCUCAAAAACAACAGCGGAGGCGCCGCCAGCUCCGCGCUCCGCCACUGCCCAGGCCGGCGGGCGGCACUCGGACCCGCCGCCCUCGGUCCCUCGCGAGGCCACGGAGGCCAACACGCCUCGCACGGGGGGACAGCGCGGGGGCAGCCGUCCAAACACCAGGCGUCCUCGGCUGGUCGUCCCAGGGCGCCCGCACCUCUCCGCCCGCGCUCUCCUGCCGCCGCGCCCCCAAGCCCCCAAACUCCGAGGCGCUGCGGCGGAGGGGCCGGGCUGAGCGCAGGCAGGGUGGCCCGGGCCCAGGAGCCUGACGGCCUGAGUGCGGAUUUCUCAUCUGAGUAUCUGGGAAUCGAGAAUGAAUUGGAAGGAAACCGAGGCGCUGCCCUGGCCAGGUUGCUGCCCCGCACCCUUCCGGAGCACCGAAGUCCUGCCCGGCAACGGGACUUGGAGCUGCCGCAGAGUCAGCCUGAGCCCGAGGCAGGGGUCGCGCCCGCGAUGCGGGGUCUCUGCGCCGCCCCGCGAGGCUCCUGGCCUUGCCCUCCCUGCCCUUUGUUGUGUAAUAAGACCUGUGGCGGCUCCACUGAGACCCACACGUGCAACUCCGCGCCUCCGCGUUAAAGGAGGUGAAACGCAGCAGCCCUGAGAAACCCCGAGACCCCGGUGUCCUAGCAGAGGCGCCCCGGAUGGGGAGGGGCGCGGGGCCGGCGCCACCCCAGAGGAAAAGCCCAGCGGAGCCGGGUUGGGCAGGAGCUGGCGGCGGCGGUGCGCUGGGCCUUCUGCCUUGGAUCCUCCGCGGUCGGCACCGCUUCCCUGCUCAGAUUCGAACCCAGAUUCGGCUCCCAAGGCUCCCACGGCUCCAGGGUGCCCAGUCUUGCAGCCAGCUCGCCGCCCGAGCCCCGGAUGGAGGAAGCGCUCACUGGCCGCUACCUCUGCUGUUUCUGGCACCAGGUGAGUGUCGCCUAGAGAAGGGCCAUGAGCAAUGGCACAGCCCCAUUCCCUGCCGUCCUUUCGAGGGUCUAUCGACCCCUUUACCCACCCUCCCCACACCCUGACCAUCUUUCUACAGGGGUUGGGGCAGAGAACAGCUCAGUUUACAGGCCCGGCUCUGGAGGUCUUGAUCUGCCUAGCCAACUAGGGCACCGCUGCAGCUUUGCACCGCCAAGGCCGGUUCUGAACCUGCUCGCCCCAGUGGGUGGGAGGUGCUGGAGCCCAGGAACACGGGCGCUGUCUUGCCUAAACCCCGCCAAGGGCAGGUUCCCAACGGUGGGCCCAACCUGGCUGGAGCUGCUGGCUAGAAAGGACUCAAGGUCACUCCCAUAUCUCUGCACCCAGGUCCCCCUUGCUCCUGCCUGAAGCCUCUGCAGGUUUGGGAGGAGGCCUGGGGAAGUUACUAUGGUGCCUGCGAACCACUCCCACCUGCAGAGAGGGUCCCUUCCCCACCCUCACCCUGCAGCCCAGCAGAGGCCUCCUUUGCCCCUGGCCUGGAGGUAGCCAACAGAUGCCAAGGUUGUGCAGUCCUGGCCUUCUUCUACGGGUGCCCCAACUCUCUCAGGCCCUCUCCCUGCCUCCUCCUCCAGCUCAGGAGGUGGUUCUCAGAACCCUGGCCAGGCUAGGACAGGACAGCCAUCCCUGGCCUGUUGCCAGCCCCUAGGGAAGAAGGGCAGGAGGUAUGGGAGCAAGCUGGUCUGUGCCAUCUGGUCCUUGCCCUCCACCAGGCUGUUGGGUAGGGAUGGGGUCAUGGAUCUGCCUGGGAAGGGGUAGCUGCCGGUCAAGCCUCGCCAGGGAGACAGCCGGGCUGCCUACCUGCAAGGCACUGACGCAGCCCUGGCUCCAGUGGGGCAGUGUCUCCCGAGCCUGCUCGAGGAGCCCAGGCAGGCUGUCCCCAAGGCCAUGGCCCUGGCCGAGGUUGCAUCCUGGCCUGGCCAGGCCCUGCCCCCGCGUGGCCAGACUUAGAAGCGGAGAGCAGGUCAGGCAUUGAGGAGUCCCGUGGGGAAAAAGGGUGAAGCAGGGAAGAUCAGAUGCAAGUCCUCCCUGGGGCCCAGUUCUGUGUCCCUGCCUGGCAAGGGCUUUGGGGGGCUUGGAGAACAGGUAGGGCAAAUGUAGGCCCAGUGGGGAAAAGGUUGAUACUAAAAGGUCUAAGGGCAAUUUUCAAACCAAGUCUAGCUCUGCAGAGCCUUGAGGCUGAUGCCAGGCCCUGGGGCCCCUGCGCUGGGAUUGUAAGUGCUGUAAGCUCAUUCCUACUGACCUCCUUGGGUCGUCCAAGGACAGUGAGUGUGGGUUGGCCACAUAGAGGCUCCUACACUGGACAACUGCACGCUGCUGUCGAGUUCCAAAACCAAUUUCAUAGCUGGGGUCUUGGAGGCUAGAGCGGGGCUUUAACCACCAACUUCUGCUGGGGUCUGGGCAGAGAGGGAGUCCAUGGAAACUCGAUUUCUCCAUGAGCCCUGCAGACUCCCAGUGUUUCUAACGGCUGGAGACCCAUGACCAGGUUAAUUCCUUAGGGAAAAGGCCGGGUUUGAGAGCCAGAAAUGCUGGUCCUGCCGUGCUGGAGGAAGCAUCUUAUUAGCGAGUAGGAGGCCCCCAAGCCCCAGGGGUUCCCCAGAAGCCCAUUGAGUAGCAGAACUACCAUGCCGGCCUGCCCUCCACUCCCGGAAUCUACAAAUGCAUUCAAGGGCUAGAGGGCCCCUUCGCUUGGCCAGGCCUUGUGCCCCAUGCCAACUGGCAGGGUCAGAGCAGCCCCAGCUGCCCCUACCCCCAGCCCCUCAGGCCCCAGGGAGCCCUGCUUCGGGCCGUGUGUGCAGGACAGGAGGUAGGCAUGGCACCUGGCAAGAUGGACUCACCUCACCAGGUUCUUUCUCUCCCACUUUCUCUCCCCUCACCUCACCCCUUUCUCUCCCACUCCUCUGUGCUUUUUGAACUUAGCCAUGGGUUUUCAGAUACUUGGCCUCAGGCUCUAUUGAAUUCCAGGUCAAGGUUUUACUGACUCCACACCCCCACCUUGUUCCUCCGGGUAGCAAAGAAGCACACAGCCUCUGGUUUACCAACGGGCUUUCCUGGGAGAUUGGAAAUGCCCCAGGUGGGAUCCAGAUCGCCAGCGCUCACCCCACCCCCAAUACGUGGGCCACUGAGUCAGGCCAGGAUGAGGCUCUUGCUCCCCGGGCAUGUUCUCCUGCCCCAGACUUGAGCAGCAGGAGCCAGGAGACCACAGGGGCCCUUGGGGAUGGCUGACUUGGCUCCCACUAGACAGAGGGGAACAUGGAGGAGGGCUGCUUGGACCCUAUACCUCGCAGGGGACUCGAUGGGGGCUGAAUGCUGGAAGGAGCCUGCGUUUGGUCUAGAAUGGUGGGGGUGGGUGGGAGACACAAGUCAUGGAAAAGGCCAUUUCUUCCCUAUUGAGACCUCUGAAAUGACCCGAAGUGGGUGCUUCCUCCAGCAUCAUGCCUCAGCCGCACACUGGGGCUACAGGAAUCCCCCCAGACCCUGGGGUCAAUAUUUCGGGGCCCCUUUGAACCUUCUUCUCACCCGAGGCCUGGGAAACCUUCUUGUGCCCCAGAAUACUUGGAGAGGACAGGACACAGGUCCCAGUUGUGGCCCAGUGGUGGCAAGGUUCCAUUCCCUGCACUGCUCAAAGGUGGGGGCCUCCCAAAGCCGAUACCCGAUUCCUGGUCCCAGAGUGGGUAGCUGGGAGGAGUGGACUUCCUAGGAAUGUGAGCCAUGUCGCUGAUUUCGAACAAACCCCAGAUGUGUGGAAACUGACUUAUUUUGAUUGCAAGAGGGUCCUUGUCCCUUGCAGAUGGGCAGCUUCCGGGGACCGGCUUGCACGAUGCCGUGGCCACCCCAGUGGAGACCCUCUGCCCGGCUUUGUGUCCUGGCGUCCCCACCAGGGUGCCCAGCUCUCCUGCGCAGAUGUCGGGAGUAUCUGGAUGCCCCAUGGGCACUUCGAGGGCCCAAUCCGGAGUUUUUUGUUUUGUUUUGUUUUAAGAGAUUGAGACUGUGAACCUGAACUCCCUUGAUCUCCUCCCGUUGGGCCCAGGAGGGAGCCGAAUCCAGGCCCAACCGGGCUCACUGAGAAGGUGCAGGAAGCCCCCAACGACUCCUACUCGUGUGCGGCCCAUACUGGGCCAGGACGCUGCAGUGGCCGAGCCGCUGGGUGUCUGCAACGGGGAGCUCCCCCGCCGCUGGGGGCAAUAAACGGAAUCGGUUUCACACGCUUUCCCUCUUGAUCUAAGAACCUUUAAAAAUCCGCCAACGAAUGCUGUUGCCUGGAUGCGCUGCCUAUGACCUUCAGCCGUGUGUUCACGCGCGCCCGCAGCCGUGGAGUGGCGGUCCCUCCUGCCGCCCGCAACCCCGGGGCCGCCGGUCUGCGCACACCGGGAGCAACUUCGUUACCCACAGCGCCCGCGUCCUGCGGCUCGCGCGGAACUGCGCGCGGGAAGGUGGCAGAGCGACGCUCCAGAACGCUGCUUGCGUAGACGCUGCCGCUGCCUUCAGAUCCCAAUUCGGCCGCGCGCGGGCGGGGCCCUGGCAGCAACGAAAAUGGCGAGCCUCGUAGCCUUCCGGGCCCGGCGGCCACAUUCCGGGAGUCGCCAGGUGGGAGCCCGCCUUCCGUGUCCCCAAACGCCCAGAGCCCGGGACACGGGCCGGCGGCCGGGUCACCAAGCCAGUUCCCGGAAUCGGCUCGCGCCGGAAUCCAGACUCGGCUUGCAAAGCCCGCUCCUGCCGUCUCUCCGCAGCGCGCCCUGCCCCCCACUGCCGGCCCUCUUAGCUUCAAAACCAAAUUUUGCCUUUCAUCCUGAGAGAUUAAUACCCCGCAGGUGAAACCGUGGAGACGGAGCUGCGGUGGGUUUCUUUUCCACGCCUCAGUUUCCUCGUCUGUGAAAUGGGACCAGGCGCGCCUGUGCUUCUCCGGGAGUUUAUUGCAGGGCUGGCUGGAGAGAAUGGCUGGGUGGAAGCUGCCAGGAGGAGGCCCAAGGCCGCCCACCCCGUGGGCCUCGUUUGCUGAGCGGGGGUCAGAGGCGUGCGGGACAGGGCGCGCCCCACGGCGGCUCUGGAGGCGGCCCGGCCCGUCCCUGUCUCCUCCCCUCGCUCCCCCUCCCCCGGCCUUCCCGGAACUCUCCUCGCCCGCUGGGUGGAGGAGGGGCGAGGGCCGACUCCGCCGCCCCUGGGGUCUCCCUCCUCCCACCCCCACCGCAGAGUCUGGCCCGCCCUGGGCUUUCCUCUCAGGUCCCUUUGGGUCUCCAGAAGCCCGGAGGUUUCGCGCAGACUCGAACCUGAGAUGACACCACCCAGCACCCCAAAUCCUGCAGAGUGUGGAGGGGAUCUGGGGAGAAGGCAGGGGCUGCCCGGGCGCUCUGGCUGCUGGGGGUGGGGGACAGGGCCUGCCGGGGAAGCGGGUCGGGGGAGGACUGGAGACCCAGGCUCCCCUAGGUACAACGAACCUCGCGGGAGGGAAUACGCCAUCCCCGUACCCACUUCCGAGGACGUAGGUCUUUUGGCACCGGCGGCAGCCGCGUUCCCACACAUCUGGGCGGGGCCCCGCAGCAUGGCCUGGGGAGCUGAGGCUUCGGGAUCCGGCACAAACUACCAUUCUAGGUGUAGACGGAGGAGGUGGGGUGUGGGAAGCAGGGGGCCAUGGUCUGAGCAGACCUUCUCACCUCUGGGCCUCCCACCUCCUGGGGCAGGACUUACGGGGAAGGACCCGAGGGGAGUGGGGUGUCCAUAGGGACACCCAAGGGUCUAUCCCUGCGAGCUUUGCUUUCUACUAAACCAAUAAUCGCAGUGGUGGUGGCAGUCGAGACACGGCUCAAAGAGCCGGCAAGAAUAGAGCAGAGACCAGGAUCGCCCCAGGCAGGGAAAAAAUGACCAGUUCUGUAGAGUGACCCGAAGGUGAUGGAAUCACUCGGGCGUCCUCCUGGGAAAGAGCUGCCUGCUCCCCCGCCGCCGCCAGUACACCGGCGCCCAUGCCCCGGGGGCUGGAGAGAGCAGCCAGGCACAGGUAACUCAAGAACUCCAGUCCCCUCACGGGUGCCGUGCUGUGGGGCGCCCUCACCCCCACACUUUGGGUCCCUGGGCCUCCUCAUCAAAGCAGGGGCCUGAGUGGCAGGAACACCCCUGUGUGCAGAAUAGUGCCCCCUGCAGCCCCCACAGGUCACCUCUUUGAGGACCUAGGUGGGGCCUGCCCUGGGGACUGGGGUGAAGAGGGCAGGUCCAGCCUUCAGCAGCCCCUCCCCCAUGACUUCAGUGGAAUUACAAGGGGAACACCCAGGGCAGCUCCCGUAGGCUGCACAAGGGAAGAGGGGAGGGCUUCUACUGAGGUGAAACAGUGACCCACCCCUCCCACACCGUCAGCCUCCCUCCCCUCUCCACCCUUCAGUGCUGGGACCCCAGGGCCCAUAGACAGCUGGGGGAGUGGGGAGACAGGAGGAACUCAAGCUCAGCUUCUGCCUCCUGUCUCCUGGGACCCUCGGGCAGCCCCUCCAGCUUCCUGGGAGUCCAAUUUCCCAAGGUAGAACGGUGGCGGCAGAGCCUGGCCCUGUGGUGGGGCAGCUGCACCCCGAUGAGUGGCUUGCAGUUCCUGGAGCCCUGCAGGUUGUUGGAGAGGCAGGGAGCCCUUCUCCCUCCUGCCUGCCCUCUUGCACUUCCUCUCCCAGAACCCAGCACUACUCCCAGAGGCUCUGAGCUGGAGCCCUAGAAGGAGGCGCUGCAAGGCUCCGUGCUCCUGGAGCUUCGAGUCUAUGGUAUGAGUUAAACAGAAGGGUAUCUCCUCCAUCAGAUCUACAGGAGGGUGUCUGCUCCAUCAGACCUGGAGCUUCCAAGGCAUUUUACCCGAAGCUCCAGCACCUGGCCCAAGGCUGGGCUGUGCUGUGUCCUCAGUGAAAGAAUGGAUGAGUCACAGCUGAAUGACUGAAGAGCUGAACCAGGUCCAGAAAGACUCAGCCACUGGAGUCUGUAUUUCCUGAGUCGCCUCUCACUGCUGGAGCUGUUUAUCAUCGCUCCAACUUUCACUAAAAAGGAAAAACUAUCACUUAAACAAAGCCAUUGAAACCCCAGCAUCAUGUGUGGAUUUUUUAACAUAAAUAAAUCAUACAAACUAAGAUUUAUGUUCUUGGAAUGAUGUCAUUCAUUGAAGGCUGCCUUCCCAAUCAAAGCCGUGUUUAGUGAUUUUUCUUUAGUGGGUGUGCUUUUUGCUAAAUAGGAAAAACCCGUUCGGUCAUCCUUGCUGCUGUCUUUUCUCGGUUUGGCCCAGAACAUCAGAAAGGUUUCUCCCUGGGCCAGUCCACAGAGCCAAAUGGUGAAAAUGGUUUUAACUCCACAGACUGCUUUUAAAGCCUUUGCUUUGGAACCGUUAAGUCUGAGAUCAAAAGACUGUUAAACCUUCCCUAAGAAUGUGUGCAGGCCUCAGCAGAAGUUUAUGGUCCUCCCAGGUCUCCCAGAGCCUAGAAUGAAUCUCGCUGCAGAGUAACGCAUCUGCAGAAGCUUCACCAAAUUGAAAUGAGUGAGGAGCAUUAAAAUCAGCACACGUGGAUAAAUAACAGGUGGCAUAUCCAUGCAAUGGAAUACUAUGUCGCCAUGAAAAGGAAUGAAGAGCUGACGCUUGUUACAGCAUGAAUGAACCUGGAAAACAUGACGCUCCGUGAAAGAAGUCAGUCAUAAAAGGUCACGCUUUGUGUGAUUCCAUUUAUACGAGAUGUCCAGGAUGGGCCAAUCCAUAGAGACUGAAGACAUAUUAGUGGUUGCCUGGCUGUAGAAGUAGAGGCAGUAGUACUCUGGGCCAAUGAAGGCCCUGGGAACAGAUGGGCCACACCAGAGUCCAGCUUCAGCCCUCCAGGCAUUGAAAGGAGACCAUUAGCUGGAAGCCAGUGGGAAGUCGGGCUGACUAAUAGGGACAGGUGUCCAGGAGGCUGCAGUGUGAGGCUUUCAUUUGUUCAAGCAACACACAUUCACUGCACUCUUACCGUGUGCCAGGGACAGCCAUAGGCCCUGAGACUACAGCAGUGAUGGAGACAGACGCUGCUCCCAUCAAGGUCAUGUUUUGAUGGGGAAAGCAGCAAUAAGCCAAAUACAUAUGGGUCUGGGGUGCCAGGCUAGACGAUUCUAGUGCAAUGGACAUGAAAGAGGAGAGAGGUGAAGGCACAGUCUUCAAUCGGUUGUUCAAGAAAGGCCUCACUGAAGUGGUGACAUUUGGGCAGAGACGUCAGGGAGGGAUGAGGGAGCCACCCAAGUGUCUGGGAGAACAGCACUGGGGCAGAUGGAACAGCCAGUGCAAAGGCCCUGAGGCUCCAGUGACCAGUGUGGCUGCUGCAGAAGGACGGGGAGGGGAGGAGGGGAAAACCGUGUAGAGUGGCAGUGGGAGGACAGAUUAAGGCUGCAGGUGGAAUUAAAGUUGCUCUUUCAGCUGACUUUAAAGUAGGGAGACGAUUCCAGAUUAUCUGGGUGGCCUUAAUGUCAUCACGAGGAUCCUUAAAAGUGGAAGAGGGAGGCAGGAGAGUCAGGAUUAGGAUGAAGUGGAGAUAUGUGAGAAUAUGAGGAAGAUUCCCCUGGCUGUGCUGGCUCUGAAGACAGAGGAAGGGCCCACGAACCAAGUUACGUGAAUACGGACAGACUCUAGAAGCUAAAAAAGGCAAGGAAAUGGAUUCUAGAGCCUCCAGCAAGGAAGGCAGCCCUAUGCAUGCCUUGACUUUAGGACACUGAGAUCCAUUUCGGACUUCUGACCCACAAAACCAAAAUCUAGUAAGUGUGUGCUAUUUGAAGCUGCUAAAUUUGUAGUAAUUUGUUACAGCAGCCACCAGAAAUUAAUAUGGGGAGGAAAUAGGGAUUUCAUCUGUCCAUAGUAAAGACAUGCCGGGGGUGAUAAGAAUCUGAGCCCAUCUCACCUAGAUGAGAACGAGAGAGUAAUGACCACAGAAUAGUGGUGAUGGCCAUCCUCACAUCUGGCUCCUUAGCCACCCAUGCCAGUAUGGACUGACUGCCUUCUACGUCUUGUCCAUGGCCAUUCUCUAGGGAAAUUCCCUUGCAUCUCCUGCUACCUUUACAGACUACAUAUUUUGUUGGAUUACUUUCUCAUUUUCAUGAAGCAUAUCUUCUAGUAACUUCUGAUAAAAGAUGCAUAGGAGAUAAAUAUUUUAGGACUUCCACAGUACCAGAAUGAUGGAUGAACUGGGUAUAGAAUUCCAGAUUGGAGAUGAUUUUUUUGUUCAGAAUUUUAGAGAAUAUUGCCCCAUUGUCUUCUUGCUACCAGGCAGCUAUUGAGAAGUCUAGGAAGAUUCUGUUUCCUCGGACUUUGUGUGCAGUGUGAUUUUUCCUUUUUGGAAUUUUAUAGAAUCUUCUUUGUCCCAAGUGGUCCCAUAUUCCACAAUGAUGUGCCCUAGAAUGUGUCUGUUUUUAUCCACUGUGAGUUCUUUCCAACUGAGAACUUGUGUCCAUUAGCUCUGGGAAAUUUUCUUGAAAUACUUUCUUAGUGAUUUCUACUCUCUGUUUUGUUUCUUCUUCAUUUUUGAAACUUGAUAUUUAUAUGAGCUUUCUUCUGCACAUAUAAUCUGUGUGUCCACCAAAUGGCUUUGCUCUGUUUGUUUCAAUCUGUCUUUCCUGAGGCAUCUGCUGAUUCUUGGCUUUCUGCCCAUGAUGAGGAGCUGACUGGAAGUUCUGACAGUAAGAGAGGAGGGGUUCAUUGCCCUUGAGACCCAUGAAUGGGAGUGAUCCUUGAUCCUUGGAUGUCAGUAUCUUUAGGAACUGACCUGAUUCCCAGAGAAGUUACCCAGGGAGCAAGGGAGGGUCUGGCUGCCAGUCUUCUUGGAGUCAACUUGGAGUUGAAGGCAGGGGUCUUUGCAGUCAGCUGCCUGAAUUCUGGGAAAUAAACCUCUGGACUUUUGCUGGUGUGGGGGAGGGGUGGUCGCUCAGGGAGGAUAAGGAGGGGAUAGGAAUCCCCCUUUACUAAGCCAUCCUGAUCGUAGCCGCUCUUGCACCCCAAGUCCUAGAGGUACCCUUUUUUUUUGACGGAGUUUCACUCUUAUUGCCCAGGCUGGAGUGCAAUGGUGCGAUCUUGACUCACUGCAGCCUCUGCCUCCUGGGUUCAAAAAUUCUUCUGCCUCAGCCUCUAGAGUAGAUGCGAUUACGGGUGCCCACCACCAGGCCUGGCUAAUUUUUUUUGUAUUUUUAGUAGAGACAGGGUUUCACCAUGUUGGUCAGGCUGGUCUUGAACUCCUGACCUCAGGUGAUCCGCCCACCUUGGCCUCCCAAAAUGCUGGGAUUAUAGGCGUGAGCCACCACGCCUGGCCCCUAGAGGUAAUCUUAUACUCAGUCUUGAGUGUUAGGAUUCCCCUUGGUUAUAAAUCUGGUAAAAUCUCACCUUCCUGCUCUCUAUUCAGGAUUUUCUCUUGUCUCUGAUCCAAUUGCCACAGGUCCAUCAGCAAUUCAGCUUUCAGAAGGGAGGCCCACCCUUAUGGGUAGAUGCCUUUUGAAAUCUCUUUAUUGUGGUUGAAGUGGGGCUUACAGAGGGGACGCUAUUGAAUGGGUGUGUGUUUAGUUUGCCAUCUUAACCCGAGGCUUUUGUGGCUAUUUUAGAAAGACUGUGUCCAUUCUUAGGUCUAGGCCCGAUACCACACACAGUGUCCACACACAGGGGCUCUGACCCCACAGGGUUCUUUGGGUCCUGAUCAAUGAUCUUUCAAGAGCCUCCCCCUUGACCUGCUUCUGGCCACAGAAACAGCUGAUAAAUGAAAUUUGUUAGUUUCCUACAAUGGAGUGUUGCAUCAGCAGUGAACAUAGUGACAAGAGUGCAUGCUUAUCACCACGCUGACAUGUCCCUGAGACAUGGGGGCGACCUUUAAGAAUGUCAGCUGAAAUAUUAACAGCGGUUUUCCCUGGGUGAUUAGAUCUGAUAAUAUUAAAACUUUUUUCUCUGUUAUGUUUCUCUGCAUUUAAUUUUUCUCCACUGACUGUAUAUUAGUGGUGGAAGUGUUACAAUGUUUAAAAAUAAGAACAUCAAAAAAUUAGCCCAGGGUGGUGGUGGCAUGUUCCUGUGGUCCCAGCUACUCAGGAGGCUGAGGCAGGAGGAUCUCCUGAGCGCAGGAGGUAGAGGUUGCAGUGAGCCAAGAUCUCACCACUGCACCCCAGCCUGGGUGACAGAGUGAGAUCCUGUCUCAAAAAAUAAAAAUAAAAAUGAGAAGAAAAUCCUAUCUGUCCUUCAAUAACCAGCUCAGCCACUGCUACCUCCCGGGAGUCUCCCGUAUUCCCACUGUUGGGAAUGCUUCCUGCACCACAUUAAAUAAACUGC
rnacentral:lncRNA from 1 species